rnacentral:lncRNA from 1 species
UCCAGCUUUCCUGGCAGGUUUUUUGGAAAACUGUUUUCCCAGGAAACCCUGAGAGGCCAGAAGCAGCCCUGAGUUUUCCAGUAAACAAGGAACACAACGAGAGAGAGAAUGCAGAGAGAAGGGAUACAGAAAAUGGGACAGAGCUCAACUGGGGCUGCAGGAUGAACUGGAGAGCACAGAAAACAGAGAGAGUGUGAUGGAUGGAAAAAAGAGAGAUAAGGAUCAAGAAAUACAUUUUAUUCAAAACAACUUACACAGACCGCUUCCAGGCCAGCAGUGCAGCCUCACCACAUCAAACAGGGAGACCGCAGCAAUCGAUGGUGAUGUUCCCGCAUGGCCCGAUGUCGCACGGGAUGGGACGAGAGCCACAGGGUGUCGACUGGGGCCGGUGUCACCUCCCCACAGCUGUCCAGUCCAGACGUGCGUGGGAAGGCAUGUCAAAAGGGAGAGUGGUGGGUGGGUG